rnacentral:rRNA from 1 species
UUCGUGUGAACAGUGGUUGAUCACGAGUUAGUCGGUCCUAAGUUCAAGGCGAAAGCCGAAAAUUUUCAAGUAAAAAUAAUAAAAAAAUAUAUAUUAUAUAUAUAUGUUUGGCUAUAUAAUACACUUGAAUAAUUUUGAGCGAAAGGGAAUACGGUUCCAAUUCCGUAACCUGUUGAGUAUCCGUUUGUUAUUAAAUAUGGGCCUCGUGCUCAUCCUGGCAACAGGAACGACCAUAAAGAAGCCGUCGAGAGAUAUCGGAAGAGUUUUCUUUUCUGUUUUAUAGCCGUACUACCAUGGAAGUCUUUCGCAGAGAGAUAUGGUAGAUGGGCUAGAAGAGCAUGACAUAUACUGUUGUGUCGAUAUUUUCUCCUCGGACCUUGAAAAUUUAUGGUGGGGAUACGCAAACUUCUCAACAGGCCGUACCAAUAUCCGCAGCUGGUCUCCAAGGUGAAGAGUCUCUAGUCGAUAGAAUA